rnacentral:lncRNA from 1 species
UUUAUGUGUUUACGGUUUAGGGAUCUCCCAAAAUCAUAAACACCUCAAAUGUUGUGUAAAUGUCCCAUAAAUGGCCCAUGGUUGUUCCUUAUGCCUAGAAUCUAACCUAGACUAGUGCCAUGUUUGAGCUAAGGACUUGAAAACCGCCAAAUACCAAACUUGUGAGUUUAAGGUAGUAAACUCAUGAGUUUAAGGUAGUAAACUCAUGGAGAAAUGGUCGUUAGACCGUAAACUCCAUUUAGGAGUGUUUUGAUGCCACACAACACUUCCUAAGGCUAAAUCAUGAAGUAGGAAUGCUUGGAAUAGCUUACAAGACUUCAAACCAACAAAUGGUCAUAAAGUGUAGAGUUUACGACCAUAAACCCUUGAGUUUACUGCCAUAAACUCCUUGGGUAAUGGUCAUGAAAACCGUAAACUCCAAGGGAGUUUACCCUUGAACCCCAAACACACUAGCCGUUCCCUACAACACUUAGAUGCACUCCUUAGCACUUAUAACACUUAUACAAAGUGUUUGUCAUGCCUUAGAGUGUCUUGAAUUUGUUUACUAGUUGUUUAAAGACUAAUUGUUUGUAUACAUAUGCCCUCAUAUGUAAUUAGGAUCUUUGUGCGUGUCUAAGUCUUCACUUGACACCAAACACUUAUCCGACACUUCCUUCCGAUCCACUUGAUACAGGUGAGUUCAUACCCCUUAAUCAAUGUUUUAACUGUUUUUAAAUGUUUUAUUGGGGGGAUACAAGUAGAAUUAUGCUAAUUAUUAUAUCAAUCACAUGUGAUUAAUGGGCAGCUUUCAAAUGAUUGGCUACUCAUUAGCGGUUUUACCAAACUGUUUCCUUCAAAUGUUUUUCAUAAACACUUUAUGUGUUUAAAACUCCUUAUUACACUAAACAUUUUACUAUGUAUGUUACAUUUAAAACUUAUUUACAAUUGUGUUUCAAACAAAUGUUUCUUUAUACUAAACUGUUUUAUCAAACCCAUGCCUUCAAACCGUUUUAUAGAUUGACAUCGAGUCGAUCUUUUCUUAGAUAAUAAUUAUGUUCAAAGGUUUUACAAAACUUAUUUUAUGCUUUUAUAUUAUCAAUUGUAUGCCUAUAUAUGUAUAGAUAUAUAAGAAUUGUUUAAAGGACUUNGGACUUAGGAAGGCUAUCCACCCUAUUUCCUUUUCGUGCUUGAGAUGUGGUCUGGUGGGACAUCGGGUAUCCGUCUGAAGGUUGUUUAAAUAUUAGUUAUAUAUCAUAUGUACAUAUAUAGUCAUAAAUGUCCUUCUAGUUCGUCCAAUGCCCUUGGGUAGCAAGGGUAUACAUCCAUGUUCAUACGUACCAGUUAUAUUACUAGUAAGCUACCAUAUGGGUAGUUUAGCAAGAUACUAGAACUAUUACUAGAGCACAAUAUCAUUCAAUGAGUUAGUUCAUUCAUGAGUCAAUACUUGCUAGAUAGAGAGAGACACACAUUACAGCUAGUACACACAAUACAUUACUAUACAUGCUACAUAGAGAGAGAACACACAUUACAGCUAGUACAUACAAUACAUUACUAUACAUGCUAGAUAGAGAGAGAACACACAUUACAACUAGCACACGUAGAACAUUACAGUACAUUACAAUACUAUCACAUAGAUAUGUUUACAUGAUCACACUUACAUGAGUACAAUUACANNNNNNNNNNNNNNNNNNNNNNNNNNNNNNNNNNNNNNNNNNNNNNNNNNNNNNNNNNNNNNNNNNNNNNNNNNNNNNNNNNNNNNNNNNNNNNNNNNNNCUUCCUAGGAUCAUACAAAACAUUUUUAUACUUACAAUUCAUAUAUAGUUUUAUACUUACAGUCCAUAUACAUUCUCAAUACUUACAAUUCAUAUACAUACUAAUACCUACUUACAAAUUAAGACGCUAAAAUACUUAUGAUCUCACCAGCUUUAAAGCUGAUACUCUCUUUCAAAAUAACUUGCAUCCUCAGGUCAACCAUAGACAGGUACCGAUGCGAGGUUCAGGGAAGAUGGUGCUCGUUCAAGACGCAUCUUUCAUUUUGAUUUAUUUUUUAGUGUCUAUUAUAAUUUGACAGAUGACACUUGUAUUAAAAUUUAUAUUAUUAAUGGAAUGGAUGAUGUUGUUGCUUGUUUACUACUUUUCAUUGUUGUGAUAUUGUACAUGACGUCCUCCGCCCCAAAACGUUUCCGUCGUUCUUGGUUUUGGGGUGUGACAGAUUGGUAUCAGAANCAGAGCAUUGUUUAUAGUGAAUUAAGUAUAUCAACCCAUAAAAGAUAUACAGACUAUAAAUACAAUGGGAUUAAAAAUACUCUGACCAAGAGUUUAUACUUUAAAUAAUAAAAUAUUUAAUUACGUAUACGUGCCUACAUUCAUACUCAAAUGAGUGUCACUAGGACAGUACAAAAGAAUAACGAUUGUUAGGCAACACUGGUGGACUUAGAGACAUAUAGUCAAAACUGAGAAGAUAUAACUUGAUCAACUAUAUUAUCCGAGGGUUGACUAGCAUGUGCCUAAGUGUAGUUGUGUGGUUGCAACAAGUCUAAAAUCUUACCAACCCUACCACAAUGAGAACAGUAGAACAUAACAUUAAACUUAAAAUACUAUAGGGGUAAUUGGUGUUACUAUAAGUACUUUAUACUUGAGAACUAAAACGGGAUCUUCAUUACCAAGUUGAUAGUUGCUAAGUGGAUACACUAAGGCUAUAUGUAAUUAGGAUGUUAUAGACUUAGAAUCUGUAAAAAUUUUACUUUACCCCUAUUCUGUGUGAAUUUGGAGUUAAGGUUACUUAUUCGAAGGCCUAUCCUGUUUAGAUUACAUAUAACUGAUAUGCACUUCACAAAUAGCGAUGUAACUAAUGAAGAUUUUCUAAAUAAUUAUCUAGAUAGUUCUUCUAAUAAUUAUUUUCUUACCCCAAUUCUCGUGUAGAUAACAUGGCUGGACUCCAUCCCCACGGCAACCAGUACCUUCCGAAUGAGGUCAUUGCUGGAUGGUUUGAAGAAGAACCAGAGAAUGAUCAUCCUAUCCCUUUGAAUGAUCACCAUGAUGAAGACCUUUCGGACGAUGCUAACUCCGAACCCGAGGUUGAGAACCUACCCCAGGCAGCUCCCGUUCCAAUCCCUAACCCUCGUCCGGCUUUUCAUGGCCCGACGCCAGAGUGGGUGGAACGUUUGGAGACAUGGAGCCAAGGACAAAACCAGCCCAUGCCAUUUAAUGGUGACCGAAGCUUUUACGACUCGAGCAAUGGGGUCUCAGUAGACAGAGUCUUGCUAAUCUUGGUCCGUAGAGUGGCCCGAAAUGAGAUUCAAGCCAGGACAGCCCUACAUUAGAUCACCGAAGUUGUUGCCAAUGCGAGAAUGCAUACCCUCCGCACCAAUAGUCUAGAAGAUACUCGUGAGAGAUCUGAGAGAAACCAUGAAACCCUGCUGCAAGCACUGGCUGAAUCACGAGCCGAAGUCAUAGAACUCUGAGUAUGCCAGAGGGUGUACGAAAGACACCUACUUGAUGUGGAACGUCAACUGGCUGAACUGAGAGUUCACCAGAGGGAUGACCGUCGCCAGUAGUAGAUGCUUUACUUUAUUUUUCCUUGUUAAAAGUUAUCAUUUUUCUGUCUAUUCCCGAUGUGGCAUUUUCUAUGAAACUAUCGUGUACUGUAAGUACUUUUGGUUAGGUCUUUAUACUAUCAAGGACUAUCUUCUCUAGAUAUGAUGUAAGACCUUUUGCAAGGUCAUUUUCCCGAACUUUUACGUCACGAAUAUCAAAGAUAUUGACAGUCGGCUAACCUCUGCGUCAUUCUUUAUUCAAGUACUCUUAUCAUACUCUCAGUGGAGUCUAUCUGAAACAUGCUUUAGUCAAGGCAUUGGACUAAAGUAAUUUAACUCCGGAGACAUUUCCAAGUCUCUUUUAGUUGUUGGAUCAUGUUAUUCACCAACCAACGAUACCUCGGCUUGAAAGACAAACCUCUUGAGACCAUUGUACAAACUCACUUCCAUUCCGUGCUAGGACUGCAUCAUAGGGAUGUAGGUCAAACUUUUGAGAACAUGCUCUUAAUCUUUACCAGAACAAAUCUAAGUACAUCAAGGGUCAACCAGAAUCGCUCACAAAAUCCUUAUCUUUCGUGUCACAGAAUCAUGUCGUCAUCCGGAAACAAUCAGCCGAGCAACGAAACCUCUACUUUUCCUAUGGACGCCGCUACUUUCCAAGCCGCCGUUACAGCUGCCGUGACAGCUGUCCUAGCAAAUCGCAGCACUGUCAACGCAACCAAGACUGAAAAAGGAGUUGACAAUCCCGAUCGUGUUAACGAUCCGAGAAAUCAACAAAUAGUAAUAGUUGCCACCGCUCAAAACAACAACUCAGGGUUCAAGAAACGAAAACGUCAAGCCCAAGUAAAACGCAAGAGAUUUCAGAGAAUUGCCAUGCAACAACCACAAGUGGAAACCUCUGCCAUCCCGGUACCGAGCAGACCAUAUAAAGGAACACUCUUGAAGUGCGACCGGUGCAACUACCACCACAAGGGAAUUUGUCGAGCCUGGCAAUGCAAUAAUUGCAACAAGAUGGGGCACAUUGCUCGUUUCUGUAGAAUUACCUCCACCACUGGAGCAAGCCUAGUUUGCUAUAGUUGUGGUGAGGCAGGGCACUAUUACAGAAAUUGUCCAAAAGAGAGGAUCAAUGAAAGAAACCGUCUUCCCAUGACUCCUACUCGACACUUCACUUCCACCACCAAUGUUGGUGCUGUCCAGAUAUGUCACCAAUGCGGUGAAAUUGGACACCUCAAGAAGGAUUGCCCGAUAGCGAAGAACUCGGGUGCUGAUGGGAAGAUCCUUCGGAUCACAGCUGCAGGAUAGCCUGCUCCAGAACCCUCAUUAAUGUAAUUUAGGCGUUUUUUUGUAAAAGACUUAUAACCCAUCCAAAUCUAGUGCAACUAGAGUCUUACCUUUUGCGAGAUCCUGUCUGUAUAGGGAUGCUCGUGCUGCGUAUACUUGUCUUUUGUAGUAUACCUUAUUCGCAGCAAUAGUCUUGUAGUAAAUCUAAAGUACUAUAACUCUGUUCAUGGUUGCACGGUUGUGUUUUGUCUAUAAACGUCUUAUGUUCAAAUCUAAUGUCUUUAAGUUUCAGUAUGAUUCCGACAGUAUCAUACAACUCGAUUCAGUUUGAUCCUCACAAAAACAGCUUCAUACGUACAUCUCUUUAUCAGUAAACGUCUUUUUAGCGAAACCGUAAUUUCAAAACACCGAAUCAUUCAUGCGUGGAGUACCUCAUAGUUCUUUUCUUUUCCGAAGAAAUCCCCGGAGUACCACUCGUGCAGUACGUCAAGUUCAAUCCAAAGAUCCAUACGGUUGAUCUAUCACUGAGGAAUGUAUACAUAAGGGUAAUAUAUAAUCAAGGUUCUACAGGUUUAGAAUUGAUGAUUCCACUUUAACUUCUUUUUCCUCAAUGGGAUGUGAGCUUAAAGAAGAAUCAGUUAUUCGACUACCUUUUCAAUCUUAAUUAUAUACGACUCGUAUACACGAGAUUGUGAUUGUGAAACCCUAUAUGAAUUCUAAAAUGAACUUCAGGACGGAGAACUGCCCAAGACUACGAGUAAUCGCAUCCUCAUGUGAACAAACUUAGAACCCAGUACGACUCCUGUAAACCGAUCGCCCUACAAUUUAAACACCUACGGAGAUACAAGAACACUCCGGACAACUUAGCAAACUACACAGAAAUAGAGUUGGAAGACUAGGCUUCUCACCAUGGAGAGCCCCGGUCUUAUUCUUCCAGAGAUCGACGGAUUGCAUCGUAUAUACCUCAGAUAUCGAGGACUCCCUCAAGAUUUUUCCAUUAGAAAUCGUUGUCUCUACCUCGCAUAGAUGAAUUGGUUGAGCAAACACAAGGAAAGAAUUACUUUCAAAAAUGGAUCUGAAAUCCGAAUAUCACCAGUUUGAGUGUUAGGGAAGGAUGUCCGGAAGACUACCUUCUGAACUCGAUGCGGACACUUCGAGUCCAUAGUGAUACCCCUCGGAUAGGACCAAUACGCCCGAAGCAUUCAUGAGUUAAUGAAUAGAGUUCGUCUUUCUUACUUGGAUCAGUUUGUCAUUCUCCAUGUAACGACUUACUUAUCUACCCUCGUAGUAAGAAGGAACCCAUGGAAACAUUACCUUCGGUGAUACUUUUCGCGAAUUUCUCUGAACACGAGUUUUGGAAUUGAAGAGUCAAAAUUUCUUAAGACACACUAUUAGUGAUGUGGAAAUUCUUGAGUACUCUGUCAAUUUAUCAAAACCGUUGAGAAUUUGUUGACACCAGAGCCGCCGACAGAAAUUCGCCAAAUUCUAGGUCUUACAGACCUACUGUCAUAGUUUAUCCAUAACUCCUCAAAAAUCACAGAAACCCAUACGACUUUGACCCAGCAGGGGGUGGCCCUCGACAAAGAAGUUAAACAAGAAAAGAAGCCUUGGAGAUCCCAAGUGAGAGACCAGGUCCUUUAGGAUGUCUGACUCUGUGUCUUAAUACGCUUCGCUUUGUGUGGAAAGCUAAAUCCAAGAUAGUUAGGACCUCCGAGAUUCUUGCCAGAAUCGGUCUUGUAUCUCACAGACUAAACCUACUCCGCGAACUCAGUAACGUACAUUUUUACUCUUUGCGUCUCGACCUUGAAACCGUACCUUUCCGUUAGGACUCUUGUAACUCCACUCGUCGAGAUCCUCGCCUUCGUAUUAGAACCGUAGUGACCCUCGACCGAGAGGUCAAGCGGACGAAGCAACGCGAUCGCCCGUUAGUGAAGGUUCGUUGGGAUACCAAUCGAGGACCCGAUUUCACUUAGGAGCUCUAGAACCAAUCGAUUAGGAAGUUUCCUCGUCUCGACUCGAUCAUUCAUACCUACUUCCUUAUCUAAAUUCUAAUUUCGGGACGAAAUUCCAUUUAACAGGGGGAUGAUGUGACAACCCGAAAUCUCCAUUCGGUCAAACCCAAAAAGUCAACCACUUCGUAUCAUAAGUCAAUGUCAUUAUUUCUUAUUUUUAAGAAAUAUAAAGUUCGUUUGAUUGUUUUAAUAUUAUUUUUAAACGAACGGGUGAAAGAAAGUGCCGUCUCGGGUUUUGAAUUUUAAAAACCGCAAACACCUCGCGUCUUAGAAAUUCCCGACCAAACUUUUAUGUUUGGGUUGAAAAAUCACCCAAAAACCGUGAACUCAUACCUAUGUAUGAGUUUACUCCCCAAAAACUAGUCAUUCUUGAGUUUACUCCCCAAAACCAAAAGAGUAAACUCCAAAAUAUCCUCUCAAGUAUCAUCCAAGUUUUUAUUCUAGAUCUUCAAACUAGUAAGUGUUCUAACCCUUUCAAGUUAGUAUAUCACUUAAUCUAGUGAUUGUACAUCCUUUAAUCCAUUCAUUUAUGUGUUUUGACUAGUUUUUCCAAAACACCAAGAACACCAAGAACACACACUAGUGUUCUUGGACUUAAAGUUCAUUUCAAGCUUCCACAAUGUAAGUACUUCUAUCCUAGAGUCAUUUUAAGCUAGCUAUACAUGUUUAUACCAAGGAAAAGUCCCAAGAACACCAAGAACAAGGUGUUCAUUGUUUUGGGAGGCUCCCAAAACCUUAAACACCAAAUAUAGUCUCUUAGGGUGCUUUAGGGUGUCUAGAUGCUUCACAAUGCCUUAGGGACAUGUCUAGAUCCAUCCUUGAUGAGUGUAUCACACAAAAAGCACCAAAAUCAUAUAUUUUUAUGUGUUUACGGUUUGGGGAUCUCCCAAAACCGUAAACACCUCAAAUGAUGUGUAAAAGUCCCAUAAAUGUCCCACGGUUGUUCCUUAUGUCUAAAUCUAACCUAGACUAGUGCCAUGUUUGAGCUAAGGACUUGAAAACCGCCAAAUACCAAACUUAUGAGUUUAAGGUAGUAAACUCAUGAGUUUAAGGUAGUAAACUUAUGAGUUUAAGGUAGUAAACUCAUGGAGAAAUGGUCCUUAGACCGUAAACUCCAUUUAGGAGUGUUUUGAUGCCACACAACACCCCCUAAGGCUAAAUCAUGAAGUAGGAAUGCUUGGAAUAGCUUAGAAGACUUCAAACCAACAAAUGGUCAUAAUGUGUAGAGUUUACGACCGUAAAACCUUGAGUUUACUGCCAUAAACUCCUUAGGUAAUGGUCAUGAAAACCGUAAACUCCAAGGGAGUUUACCCUUGAACCCCAAACACACUAGCUUAUAACACUUAUACAAAGUGUUUUUCAUGCCUUAGAGUGUCUUGAAUUUGAUUAUUAGUUGUUUAAAGACUAAUUUGUUGCAUACAUAUGCCCUCAUAUGUAAUUAGGAUCUUUGUGCGUGUCUAAGUCUUCACUUGACACCAAGCACUUAUCCGACACUUCCUUCCGAUCCACUUGCUAUAGGUGAGUUCAUACCCCUUAAUCAAUGUUUUAACUGUUUUUAAAUAUUUUAUUGGAGAGGGAUACAAGUAGAAUUAUGCUAAUUAUUAUAUCAAUCACAUGUGAUUAAUAAGCAGCAUUCAAAUGAUUGGCUACUCAUUAGCCGUUUUACCAAAC